UAUUAUAUGGCCUUGUGAGCAGUUGGACUCAAAAAAAAAAUCCAAAUUUUAGUCAGGAACCAUACAUAUGGGUAGGUAGUGAUUUGUGUGUGAGUCAGUUUUUUGAAUUCCUUUUUAGUUUUGUUUUAUUCGUUUGCAAGAGAGAGAUUUAAAUGGAGACACGUGUCAGCCCGUGAGAGAGAGUGCAAGCUGGAUUUUUUAUUACCGUUGGAG
rnacentral:lncRNA from 1 species